rfam:Triticum aestivum genome assembly, contig: Triticum_aestivum_CS42_TGACv1_scaffold_405653_5BL
AAAGUACUCCCUCCGUCCCAAAAUUCUUGUCUUAGAUUUGUCUAGAUACGGAUGUAUCAAGUCACAUUUUAGUAUUAGAUACAUUUGUAUCUAGACAAAUCUAAGACAAGAAUUUUGGGACGGGUGGAGUAGUUG